UACGGGGGGGGCAAGCGUUGUUCGGAAUUACUGGGCGUAAAGGGCUCGUAGGCGGCCAACUAAGUCAGACGUGAAAUCCCUCGGCUUAACCGGGGAACUGCGUCUGAUACUGGAUGGCUUGAGGUUGGGAGAGGGAUGCGGAAUUCCAGGUGUAGCGGUGAAAUGCGUAGAUAUCUGGAGGAACACCGGUGGCGAAGGCGGCAUCCUGGACCAAUUCUGACGCUGAGGAGCGAAAGCCAGGGGAG
rnacentral:rRNA from 1 species